rnacentral:rRNA from 1 species
AACGAACGCUGGCGGCAUGCCUAACACAUGCAAGUCGAACGAGACCUUCGGGUCUAGUGGCGCACGGGUGCGUAACGCGUGGGAACCUGCCCUUAGGUUCGGAAUAACUCCCCGAAAGGGGUGCUAAUACCGGAUAAUGUCUUCGGACCAAAGAUUUAUCGCCUUUGGAUGGGCCCGCGUUGGAUUAGCUAGUUGGUAGGGUAAAAGCCUACCAAGGCGACGAUCCAUAGCUGGUCUGAGAGGAUGAUCAGCCACACUGGGACUGAGACACGGCCCAGACUCCUACGGGAGGAAGCAGUGGGGAAUAUUGGACAAUGGGCGAAAGCCUGAUCAAGCAAUGCCGCGUGAGUGAUGAAGGCCUUAGGGUUGUAAAGCUCUUUUAACCGGGAUGAUAAUGACAGUACCGGGAGAAUAAGCUCCGGCUAACUCCGUG